rnacentral:ncRNA from 1 species
GAAUGCAUGAGCCGGUGCCGAUCCAGAUCCUGUCUCGCGCCGCUCGUCCUUAGGAAGAGCGCGCAAGACGGCACUGGAGCGGCUGAGAUCAUACGGCUGUGAACUUGAUCUGGAUAAUACCAGCGAAAGGAUCAUGCUUCUCUCCGUC